CGCCGGGUCGCCGCCGGCAGAUUCGACACAGCAGCCCGGAAGGACCCGGGGUCCUGCAGCCCCGAGGGCGCUGGGUCCGCUCGGGGCGUCGGGAGAGCCGGGAGGACUCGGUAGCCCCCGGCGAACAUAAGUGCACAGGGAUGCGUCAGGCCACCCCAAGAGGGUGGACACCCGAGGACGCAGUCCGUCCGAGACGCGCAGAAGGAAAGUCCCGCGUGUACACGGGCAUUGACACUCGCGCUGACCCGCGGGAAAACACACGCUGCGUCUCAUCUCUCGCCCCCCGGGCUUUCCAGGGUCGUCAAACAUCCAGUCACGUAGGGACUUAGAUUGAGUGCUGCCCGAGCUCAGAGGAGGAAGCAGGCUAGAGAGGUAACGAGGUCGGCAAGGUUAUAUGCAAAACAACUCUACAGAACAGAUAAUUUUUGACAGAGUGGAUGAAAUUAUUUCAAGAAAAAAAAGAGGAUGUGUUCUCAGUUUCAUCCUAAGAAAUAUUUUAAUUCCUCAUAAUUUCUAAGCCAGAUGGAAGAAAUUCUUCCUAAAAAUGAUCUCCCUCGGAGGGAGUCCUAAUAUAAGGUAACAGAAGAUUUGACUUUGGAGGGUGGGCACACGGUGGUCUUGUAACAUAGAAACCCACACCUGAAGCCUAUAUGUCCAUGUUGACCAAUGUCACCCCAAUCAAUUUAAUAAAUAAAUAUAUUUUUUCAAUGAUCUCCCUGUUACCUCUAAACCUUCCUCUCUGACACCUGGCCGAAAAGCCAGAAAACACCCCUGCUUCCACAAUAGAUAUGGACUACUAUUUGCUCACUGGAAUUAGUUCGAGACCAUCAGAUAUUGUGCACUCUAAACCAGACUGGCAGUCAUCUACUUUGUCCUUAUCAAUUCAUGUAACGAUAUUCAUGUAAAUGACCACCCCAUCGGUACUUCAUUGACACUUCCAAAAAUACUGAAUAUUGAAAACGUCCUAAGCAAAUACUCUCAAGGUUUUAUUAUUAUUUGCAUAACUAAUUCACUUCAUUGUACUGAUGAGGUGGUCAUAAUAAUCUGGCCACUCAGUGUAUACUGAGGCGAUUUUUAAUUUCACGACAGCAUGGAAAAUCCUAUUACACGAGAGUAGAACUUGCUAAGCCAACCAAUUCCUCCAAACUGGAAUUUGGAAAAAUUUCUCAUUUGUAGUGGGAAACAUGAAUCGAUACUGACAUGAAAAUGUUUUAAUGAGCAAGUUGAAACAUUUUAAGAAACUACUAGCCUAACAAGACCCGCCGCCAGCUAAUGAGGUACAUUUCCAUGAAGCCGUCUAACCCGCUCUACAACCCCGUCAACUGCUUUGACAGCCUUAAAGGAAACAAGGAGCAAAGGAAGGAGGAUGGGAAAAACUAAGGACCAAGGAGCCAAACCUUUUCCAGUUUGAGAAUUUUAGACUCCAUCACACUUGUUUCUCACUCAGCCUUGCAAUCAAAUCCUUAUUUUCACCAGCUUAUAACCAUUAUUGCAUUUAAUAGAGAUUGAUGGGUGUUUUUAUACAUAACUGCAGUUUCAACCUGAUUAUCAGGAAUUGAACCAGCAAAGGCAAGCAACAUUUCUCGAACAGGCCAGUAAGCCAGGACAAGUGGAAUGGGAAAACUGAGACAGACAGCUGAGCAAACUGGCCUAGCAACUUACUUAAGCAGACACAGGUCACCUCCCUAGAGAUAACAUCUACGCCCCAGUUGUAUUUUAGCUCCAGGCCCAGACCAAGUAGCAGCAGCAGGAGCAGCUGCAAUGACUAACAGUCCCCUGCCCUGGCACUAACCAAUCACCAGAGACCUCGACCCUGAAAGAGCACACCUGGAAAAUUGAUGAAUGUUCUGCUGAAACCUUCCUGAGACCUGCAAGAAAAAACCCCUCAAGACAAAGGACCCAUUGUGUGCUCUCCCUCUGUGCCUUCCCCUGCCCCCUCUGCUUCCCGCCACAGGCAUGCACCUCCUAAACUCUAAGAGACCCCAUGAAGACUUGCAACCAGGGGAGCAACAGGCAGCGGCAGCUCAUCCCAGGCUAAUCCCCUGAAUGUGUCUCCAAGGCCUCUUUUCUCUGACUUCCCAGUGAACUAAAGCAGCCCAGCCUGGGCUCUCCUGUUGCUUCUUCUGGUCCAGGCCUUCCCUUGUUUCACUGUCCCCAGGUUUAAUAAACAUACACUCAUAGUGA